UCGUAUGAUGGGAGCAGAGAAAGCACCUCGGGACGUUCUUCUUUGUCAAGAUCAGAGGCCUUGGAGUCAAGCAUCAUUGCCUCCACCGUCAAAUUGGCAGAGUGCUCGAUCCAAUAGUUCUUCUGAACCUCACGCUCUUCAACAUGAGCAGCCAUUCUUCAAAUCAAGAAAGAUUAAAAUUCGAGUAGGAAAUGCAAGAAGCAAGGUCUAGAUUUGAAGUUCUAAAGGCAAAGGGCAAGGAAAUGAGACAAGCAAGAAAGGGUUCUAACAGCCCUCUACGGCAACACGAGAUCUAGAAAAGCUCCUGGAUCUGCGGUUAAAAACUCUGCCUUUCUGUUGCAUCACCAAAUCUGCCAUGCAGGAGGAUGGGGCUCUUCCGCUGAGUUUUGGGAUUGGUU
rnacentral:misc_RNA from 1 species